rnacentral:rRNA from 1 species
AGUCCAGACUCCUACGGGAGGCAGCAGUGGGGAAUAUUGCACAAUGGGGGGAACCCUGAUGCAGCGACGCCGCGUGAGGGAAGAAGGUUUUCGGAUUGUAAACCUCUGUCCUCUGUGACGAUAAUGACGGUAGCAGAGGAGGAAGCCACGGCUAACUACGUGCCAGCAGCCGCGGUAAUACGUAGGUGGCAAGCGUUGUUCGGAAUGACUGGGCGUAAAGGGUGUGUAGGCGGUGUAGCAAGUUAGAAGUGAAAUACCUAGAGCUUAACUCAGGUGCUGCUUCUAAAACUGCUAUACUUGAGUGCAGUAGAGGAAAGUGGAAUUCCUAGUGUAGCGGUGGAAUGCGUAGAUAUUAGGAGGAACAUCAGUGGCGAAGGCGACUUUCUGGACUGUAACUGACGCUGAGGCACGAAAGUGUGGGGAGCAAACAGGAUUAGAUACCCUCGUAU